ensembl:lncRNA
CAAAGUGUUACUCUUUCCUUACUUAGAAAUAAAGCUUCCUUUGCAUCCCAGGGAGUGGGGUAAGUCUACAGAAAAACCCUUCUUUCCUGUGCAUGUUGGCCCUGCGCAGCAGGCAAACUGCUGGGUGGGCUGGAAGGGAAAUGGUGCGGUUCCUUUUGCUAGGAUAUAGGCAGCACUUGCCUGCCUCCCCAGGGCCCGUGUCCAUGUGUUGCUUCCGCGCCGCGUGGCUCGGAGACCUGGAAAUGUGGGAACGUUCGAGCUGCUGGACAGAGCCCAACCCAAGCUGAUCAGCUGUGCUGUCUUUUGCUCUCUCAAAUAAAUGCAGUUAGUUUGCUGUUGGAUUUUGUUUUAUGUCCUUCCAGCACUGGGGAAUUAUCCUGUGGUUGAAGACAUUCCCCUUCACCCGGAGCUGAAACCUGCUGUCAUAACAGAGGGAAAGCUAUUUUCACCACUGUCAGAAGAAGCAUCCGGCAUCUGAGAUAACAGCUUUUGAAAGAGCACAGAAACUGUUAUCAGUUUUGUCUUUUUAACACAGGCAGUUUAAAUAACUUUCACCCUCAGUUCAGGGACGCUCGCUGGGGAUUGCUGUUGCCAAGGAUGGCUUAAGGCCUUCAGGUGGACAGAGAAGACACGGUGUGCAAACAAAAAAAGUUGAGCCAGCAUUUUCCAGCUGAAUGUGAUAAAAAUAAAACAGAGGCAGCAAAAUGCAAAAAAUCCUCACUGAAGGCAAAAAACAACCCAGCCUCAUUCAACAGCAAACAGCACAACUAAAUAUUCAAGUCAGAUCACAGAUCUGAUGUGAACUCUGCACAGCGUGGAGGAUUUCUUCCAGCUCAGAGGGAAUCUGUUUCGAAAUCAGUUUUUCGGUACAACAGGACAUAAGCAACUUCCAUUAAAGGACAGACAGCCUUCACUGAAGCUACUUAGAGGAAGCUGCUCUGCAAGAGAAAGAAGAUCCUGUGAGCACUCAAGGUCAAGUACGAAAUAAAUUAAUUCUGUAAUUGCUAACAAGCAACUUCCAGCUCUGGCAAAUUAUAUACCUAAUAAAAAUGAUUAAUUUGUGUUUGUUUUUGGAAGGACUGCCUGUGAUUUUGUCCUCAGAUGAAAAGAACUAAAGCAUUUAAGAUUUUACCACUAAGCUAAAGCAAGGGUGUUUCUGGGCCACUAACUGCUGACUUUUGACUCAUACUCUAGAAAGCUUCUGCAGAUAUUUUGGAUGAAGGAAUAGGAUGUUUAUUUUCACAUACUUAUGCCUAAACUCAGUGUUUGUUUUGAAUGCAGUUGGAAUGAACUCUUAUAGUAAACACUGAUGUCAUUUAGAGAAUGUGUAAACCAAGCUUUACUUCCAUUUGUAGACUCACUGCUCUAUUCUCUUCAAAGCGCUCAAUGAAGCACAACUGGAGACAGAAGGCAGUUCCAUGAAGCACAGCUCCUGCUUUUUCCCUGCUGUUCUUGGUCCAGGUUGAUAAUUGGAGAUGUAAGAUCAUACACUGCAAAGAAUUAAGCAUGAAUGAUUCUAGAUCAUGAAAAAAAUCUGGGCAAGCUUGAAAAGCUCUUCCCCAGGGACAACAUUCCAGCUGGGGCUGAUGGUGCUGUGUGUGUGCACAUAAUGCCAUCCAUCAUGAGCUGCCUGUUUUCCCAACAGUGUGAGUGGGACUCUGGUACAACCCAGAGAGGACGUAGAGGAUGUGGUGAAAGAAACCCCUGACCUUGCUCCCUUCUAUGAAUUUUGAGUCUAGAUAAGACAAUCAUCUUGUUAUACUACUUCUUAGGAGUCUAAUCAUAUUACAGGACAUUGUAUUUCACCUGUUAGCUUCAAGACACCUUGUGAAUGGCUGAACGUGUCAGGAAAAGCUCUCUUGUGCUUCAGAUGUGAAUCAUUGACUGGAUUGUAAAAGGCAAAGGCAAUCAAUCAACUCCAAUCUGAGAGUUGUUGUUCAUGUGGGUAACAUAUCUUGAAGCUUUAAUCAUCUGCGUACCCUUUCGGAAGUAAUUUCUACAAAUAAAUUCCAAAUGUCAGAUAUAUUUCAUCAUUUAGCUUCAGCAUAUGGAAGUAAAAGUUGAAAGAAGCAAUUCACGGUCAUUUCUUACUGGGAAGAAAAUGAAGGGAAAAAUCCUUGCAGAAGAAAGAGAAGAAAAAGGAAGCCGCAGGAAAGUAUUGCGAGCUGAUUUGUGGACACUCCCCCAAAAGGUCAUGGGAGGUAAUGGAAGGAAUGAAACUGGUGAUGGAAAUCAGCAACACAGACAAACAUCCAAAAAAAUACAAUCUUCAAGGGAGCAGCAGGCAAUCAGGCAGGGGUUCUGUGAGAAUCCACAAACCUCAUGUCAGUGCUAAAAUAGGACAGCCAUCAGCUCUGCUCCACAUCACGCCCACGUGCAAAAGAGCCCAGCACCCAGCGCUCCAUCACGACCAGCUGCAGUUUGAGCACACUCAGCCUCAGGCUUUGGCAAGAGCACGUGAAGACCAGGUUUAUUUGGGCAGGGCUGGAUGAUGCUGGCAGAGAAGCAUCCACCCUUCGGUGUGAAAGUGGAAGGAGCUGAACUUUGAACUCUGAGAUAAGCAAAUCUGAACAUGAAAUAAGACAGUGGCAUGUUGGACUUAAGCUGGCCUUUAUAUAAAAACAGUGCACAGAAUGCCUUCUGUUCUUGAUUUUAUGUUCCACAAGUAGACUCUAAGACUCUGCUUUUCCUCCCCACCACUGGAGCUGUAUUAAGGCCCAGCAAUUCGGCAAUCCUGGCUCUUCUGAUCCUGGUAAUUUUAAAUGGUGUUGUGACCCUAAGAACAAAAGCAGUUUCCCUCUCCACUGUAUUUUGGUUGUUCUGGGACACGUUCUGCCCUGUAAUCAAUAGAGUUUAAAAAUAAAUUCACGUUGUGCUUUUCAAACAUAAAAAUAUUUUCC